AGCCUCCCAAAGUGCUGGGAUUACAGGCGUGAGUCACCGUGCCCAGCUGUUUUUUUAAUUAGUUGUCAAUUAUUUCCAACUUGUAAAAAUUAGGAGAUUCAACACUACUUUCUACAUUUUUUUAUUCUUUUGCAAAAAUCUGGGAAAUCUGACAAUGCUGGGCCUGCUGUCCAAGAGGGCAGAUGUGGGCAGGAGCUGGGUAGCAGCUGCCACUUCUUCAGGAAACCUAAGUCCCAGUUGUCAACAGUUCCUCCCAGCCUGCUGAUUUUGUGACCACUUGAGUUUGGGGCCUCUGAACUAGAGAUUUCUUUUUUCUUUUUUUUGGAGAUGGAGUUUCACUCUUGUUGCCCAGGCUGGAGCGCAAUGGUGCGAUCUCGGCUCACUGCAAUCUCCGCCUCCCAGGUUCAAGUGAUUCUCCUGCCUCAGCCUCCCAAGUAGCUGGGAUUACAGGCACCCAUCACCACACCCGGCUAAUGUUUUAGUUUUUUGCAGAGAUGGGGUUUCACCAUGUUGGCCGGGCUGGUCUUGAACUCCUGGCCUAAGGUGAUCCACCCACCUCGGCCUCCCAAAAUACUGGGAUUACAGGUGUGAGCCACUGAGCCUGGCUGAUUUCAUUUUGUUUUAAGAGAUUUGGCCCAUGAGCCCCUAUCAUGUGUCAUGCACUCCCCUGGGGAGAAACAGUGAAGCAGACAGAGGUGACACGACCCUUCCCCUCUUGCAGUCACAGGUUGACUAUAUGCAGAGGUCUCUCAAAGUGUGCCUCAUGGGUCCCUCAGAAUCUGGUUAAGAUGCAGAGAAAUGCCUGGGCCCCAACCCAAAUCUGCUAAAUCAGAUCUUCCGGGGGUGGAAUCUGGAAAUCUCCAUUUUUAGCAAGCUCCCUGGAGGAUGACCUUAGCCACAUGAAAGCUCUUGCAGCCGUGGUGGAAAGGAUCAUCCACGGUGACUUGCAGCUGUGAGUCCAUGAGUCUAGUACACUCUCUCAGGCCUUGAGCGGGGAAGGAAUCAGGGCUUACUGAGCCACCCCCAUCUUCCAGGCACUGUGCUAAGUCCUUUCCAUACCUCAUUUCAUUUCAUCCUCGCAAUAAACCAGGUACUGUUAUUACCACCGUGAAACAGGUGGGGAAACUGAAGCAUGAGGAGCUUGAGUAAUGUGUGUUAGAUCACGCAACCAGUAGUGGCAGAGCUGGAAUUCCGACCUGGGACUGCCUCCAAAGUUCUUGCGUAAGAAUACAGCUGCUACACUUGCCCUUCUUCAGCUGAGACCAAGGAGGGAAUUCUGAUUGAAAGCAAACCAGGGAGGAAAGAUGCACUAGCACUGACCUGUAACAGGUCAAUCUGUGCCAUGGCAUGGCGAGACGAAGUGGAGAACCCAUGUCUCAUUGGAAUCCCGGAUCAUCGUCUCCACGAAGGCUGUCUUCUGCAGCACUCCAGGGACUCACGGCUCUGGGCUUAUUGCUCAGUGUCAUGUGACAGAUGUUUUAGUGUUUAGUUGGAACCCUGGAUCUGCAGCAACCAUCUUGCUACCAACUUGAGGGUGAAGCCAGCCGUAAGAAUAGCAGGCCGGAAAGAUGGAAGAAACCUGGCUUUCCAAUGUCAUCAUUUGGUUGCUGAAUCAAUUGUACCUAAAGCUCACUCUAUCUGUUUUACCUUGAGUUAGGGUUGCCGUUGCUUGCAGCUAAACGCAUCUUCUUUUUUUUUUUUUUUUUUUUUUUUUUUGAGAAGGAGUCUUACUCUAUCACCCAGGUUGGAGUGCAGUGGCGCGAUCUCAACUCACUGCAACCUCCACCUCCCAGGUUCAAGUGAUUCUUGUGCCUCAGCCUCCCACGUAGCUAGGAUUACAGGCGUGAGCCACCACGCCCGGCUUAUUUUUGUAUUUUUGGUAGAGAAGGGGUUUCGCCAUGUUGCCCAGGCUGGUCUUUAACUUCUGGACCUUAGGUGAUCCACCCGCCUCAGCCUCCCAAAGUGCUGGAAUUACUGGCAAGAUCCACCACACCCAGUCUAAAUGCAUCUGAAUAUAACAUGACUCUCCUAGAGAAAAACCUGGAACCCAGAGCACCUGAAUAGAAACUCUUAAUUAUAUCAAUGAGGAAUAGUUAACUUAGCCAAGUUUCCAUUGAAUAUGAAGAACUGUAAAAUAAUGUCAGUUCUAGCCAAGAACUGAAAAGUAAUGUCAGUACUCUAUAAUGUGUAAUUCAUAGUUGCUACAUGUAAUCAGGCUUGGCCAAUUGUUUCCAGGAAGAUGGCACCCUCAUUUCUGAAUGAGGAUGACCAUUUUCCACUAAUCCAGAGGUAAAACAGUCAUUGUAACUGCACUGAAAUUUGCUGUAUCAAGUGAGACAUGAAGGUAAAUGUCAUUGGCCCAGAGUAAUUAGUCUUUUCCAGUGCUUAAAGGAAGGGAGAGAAACUAAUGCCUAUUGAGUGCCUUCAAAGCUUCUGCAAUGUGCUGGUACCCACAUGUUUCCAAUUAUUCCUCACAACACUAUGGAGAGGUUAUUUUGCCUGUUUUGCUGAUCAGGGAACUGAGACUCACAGAGUGACACCAACCCAUCAGUAUUUCAGGUUUCUGGGGAGGGUCCAGAGAGCAAGGGGGAAGCUGCUAAUUGCUUGUUGGUUCAAGAGAAAUGUUAUCUCAGUAGACUAACGUAUGGACUUUCUGAUGUCAGAAAAUGCAAACUAUGUAGUGUAACCUGUUUGCCAUUUUUUCUUUGUAUCCGCAAACUGACAGCAAAAUAUAUUGCACAAGUAUUAUAAAUCUGUUCAGUUCAAGUGCCAGAGAACAUUUACUCUGCUUCCUUCAUGAGUGGUGAGCAUGCCUGCUCCCCUACAAACUCACCAGCUCAGAGCAUUAUCAGGCUUCUCAUCUCUGCCAACCUGCCGCUGAGGUGGGGAUUAUUAGCACGCCCUUUGCAGAUGAGGAAACUGAAGCCCAGGGAGCUUUGGCAACCUGCCCAAGGUCACACAGCCAGUGAAGGAAAGGGCUGAAAUCAAACCAGGCCUGUCUGACUGCAAGGCAGGGUCUUACGGCUGCCUCCGGUGGGUAGGUCCGGGACCCAGCUGGUUUCCGUCCUGUGGCUCAGGUGCGAGGAGAGCCUCCCUGGGCCACCUGGGGAAGUCUGACUGACGUGCCAGAUCCUCACAGAACAAAGGAGAGAAGGGGACUCCUGAGAGGCCCCAGCAGCGUUAUCUGGGCAGAGAAAGUGAGUUUGAAGACCUCACACUCCAUCUGGACUUUAUCAGCUCCUUUCCUGGGUAGGAUUACAGUAAACGAUUAUCUACAGAUCUGGAGCCAGCAAGGACUUUGAAGGCCCCAAUUGCCAAGGGGGUGGUGAAAUGGGGGAAGGGCUGGAGACGCAGGAGAUGAAAAAGCAGUGCAGGCAUCUUAUCUUCCUCCUGAAAUCAAACAGGCUGGGCCUGGGCAGGGUGGGAGAGGUACCCUGUCUGUGAGGCUGACAGUCUCUAGCCCUGGCUGGCCACAAAAGAUACAGAGAGAACCAGAUGAAGGCCCUUCACUGUCUUCUCCUGAUCCUCUCUCCCUCCUCCUGGUUUCUUUUAUUAAUUCAUUCAUUCACUUGCAUCUUUCAGCCUGUUAGUUACAAUAUCUGACACGCUCUGAGCUCUCCCGCCAAGCCAAGUGCUUAGCAUCCAUCCCCUCAUGUGGUCUUCACCAUGACCUUCUGGGAGAGGUGCCAGAAUUAGGCCCAUUUUACAGAUGAGGAAAAUGAAGCCCCAGAGGCUAAGUAAUAGGAUGAGCCUGGGAUCACACAGCUAGUAAAUGGUAGGGUCUGGAUUCUCUUAAACCUGCAUACAUUUAUUCUUCCAUUUCCCCCUGCCUGCCUGCUUUCCUCUCAUAAUUCAUUUAUGUAUUCAGUUUUUCAUAUUCCCAUUGCUUGUUCAUUUUGAAGUUCCUUCCCUUCUUGCUUAUGCAUUUCUUCUGUCCCUUCCUGUCUUCCUCCUGUCUCUUCCUUCCUUCCAUGACCACAUCCUGAGCCUACUGUGUGCCCUGUCACCCUGCCAUCAGGACAUGGGGCUCCUGACAGAUGACUGCUGGGGAGGGAUAUGUGAGACCACCUCCUCCAGGGUCGACCUCCUCAAAUGAGGCUUUUGGGCUGUGCCUCCCUAUGCCUGAUUUGUCCCAGUGUUUGCCAAAAAUUUUAGGCUUUGAUAAUCUUGUGAAGAUGUUUCAGCCAAGCAAGUCUUGAGACUCCAUUGGUGUGGGAGUAAAAGUGGCCUGGGGAAGCCACUUCUUGCAGUUUCCCCUAAGCAAGGCUCUUUCUGUCCUUGCUGUUCUGACAUCCACUCCCUCAGCAAACAUCAUUAAGGACCUAUCAUGGGCAGCCCCUGGGGCCCACUCCCAUCCUCUAGCUGUCUCGAUUUCAUACCUCCCUAGCUCUAGAAAAUUCACUCCUAGAAGGCAGGGAAUUGGCGUCAAGGAACGGGUUCACAGCCUUGGACUCCUUUAUUCAUUCAUCUUUUUUCCUAGCACCUAACACAGGGCCUGGCUUAGACUGAAGGCUAAUAAAUACAGGAUCAAAAGGCAGUGAACCAUCAUUCUCUGUCACUCUCCAGGAGCUGGCCCACUCACCGUGCUAGACAUUGUACUGGAUAUAGUAGUCCCGCAUCGUUGUAUCACUCUCAUUUCUAGCUGGAGAAGUACCCCUCCUUUUCUAGGUGCGGUUAUGGGGUCGCUAUCACCUGAAGUGCCCGCCACUCACCCUGUAGUCUUGGGUGGGUAUGUGAUCUCAGCUAAAACAGUCGAGGUCUCUCUCCCUGGGCUUGGAAUUGUAAACCAAGUGAUGCAGAGAAAGAAAAAACACAAGCCCUUGGAGCCCAUCACAUCCCAUCACCGAUGAGGCUGUCCAGCGGUUCUGGCCCUCAGAAGCCCCAGAGAACUCCAGUUUCUGUCCUUUUCCGAGUGUGGCUUUCUGUCCACUUUAUGGCUGCUCAACCUCCCUCCAGUAUGCCCCUUCUCCCCUUAGUCAGUGAAUGUCUGUUUCUGUGCUUGCAAAUGAUAAAUCCUAAAUGAUGCCCCAGGACAUGGUUUCCAAGGCCAGCUAUUGGAGCCUCACCAGAAAUGUUCAUUCUGCCUCAUCAGUGUCUUGGCUAUUGCCUUUUUGGAACUGCUCUGACCUCUCCUCUUUCCAUCCUGCAGCACCCCCUCUCUCAGCACCAGGGAGCUCCUCCAGGAGCACUUCCUCCCAUGUCUGUGUUCGCCGUUAAGACUGGACACACCAGGAUGAUCUUUCAACUUUGGGUCCAAAGGCCCUCAGUGGAUGUAAAAUAGGUACAUGAGGCCUUGAACUGAACAUUUUUUUCACUUCACCAUAACCUGGAUUUUCCCAGUUUAGGAGCAUCUGUUUGUCUUGAUAACGUUUGGAACAAAGUGAAAAAAACUGGACUUUGAAGAGAACUUCAGGUGAAUUACACAUUUAAGUCAGAUUUUCCAUGUCUUUGUCCCAUGUUCAGUAAUUCAAGCUGUUAGGAGCCCUCAACUUUGUACAUAUAUUUCCUUCCUAUCUCUGCCUCUUCAUACCUGGUACUUACCGUGGAAUUUGAAAUCUUUCUGUGGCUGUAAGCAAGAAAGGCGGGAAAAAUACAAGAAGUUAAAGGGGAUUGGAUGGUUCAGAUUUGGUUGAUGAAUGAGAUGGUUUAGAGGCAUGUCUUGUAAGAGAUAAUUUUCUAUGUGCCAGGUACUAUUUAUGAAUCCCACAUUAUCUUAUUAAUGCUCACAACAAGCCUUGGGGGUAAAUAGAUUAUCAUCGCCAUUUCACAGAUUAGGAAAGUGAGGUUUCAGCAGUCAAUUGCUCAAAGGUCUCCUGCUAGUGAAACAGUCGUCUAUCCAAACAGUCUGAAUGACCUGUGCACAUGGGAACGUGCCACGCAAGCCAAGGGCAGGAAGGAUGAGAAGAGGUGGGCAGAAAGCCAGCUGGGAUGAAUGAAGGACCUACUACGUGCAGGCCCAGGGUCAGACAUUUUAUUUUCUUGAUUGCACUUCAGCCUCCCAGCAGCCCUGUUUUACAGAUGAAGAAACUGAGGCUCAAAGAGCUGGAGAAAGUUGUUGCCCAGGGUCCUGUGGAGAGAAAACUCAAGCUCCGGCUGUUCCACUACUCUGGGACACCACCCCCAGUGGGAACCCCACUUUUACAAGGAUUCGAAGGUAGGUGAGGACUUAUCUCCUGAAAUAAUUAGUAUACUUACUUUUUUGUUACAUAUUCCCACUAAAGGUUUGCAGCCCCACCCAGCUUGAAUAUCAGGAGAAUGGCAACAAAAUCUGGUUCAAGGCUCACAGAAUCCACGAAAGAUGCCAGCCCCUCCACGGUUGGAGAGUGAUUCACAAAUGUGUCUUUAAGGACUUUCCCAGGCCGGGCACAGUGGCUCACACCUGUAAUCCCAGCAAGCCGAGGCGGGAGGAUCACCUGAGGUCAGGAGUUUGAGACCAGCCUGGCCAACAUGAUGAAACUCCGUCUCUACUAAGAAUACAAAAAUUAGGCAGGCGUGGUGGCAUGCACCUGUAAUUCCAACCACUUGGGAGGCUGAGGCAGGAGAACUGCUUGAACCGGGGAGGCAGAGGUUGCAGUGAGCCAAAAUCACACCGCUGCACUCCAGCCUGGGCAACAGAGUGAGACUGUGUCUCAACAACAACAACAACAACAACAAACAGAAAAAAAAGAAAAAAAAAGGACUUCCCCAUCUCAGAGCAGAAGACAAACCCAGGUGACUCUGAGUCUGCACAGAAAAGGCAAGGGUGACCAAGAGUGAGGAGGUUAAGCACCUGUUGCUUUCAGCUCAGGUCCUGACCACAGCCCUUAAUAAGGACAAACCUCUCAGAUUGCUGCAGCCUUCAAUACGCAUGUUCCUAUAGUGCCUGGCCAAUAAGAAGUACUUACACAGUAGCUGUUAUUAUUGUAAAGGCGGCGCAAAGAGUUAAGGAAGGCCGGUAGCUAAGCUGAAUCUGAGUUGCAUCUUGUAGGCCAUGGUAUGUGAAAGAAGGGCAGGCCAGGAGGGGGAACAGAGUGAGUAAAGCCCAGAGGCAGGGGCAUGGAAAAGCAGGGAGGAGUUAAGCUUGGGGCAAAUAUCCUAAAUGAAGGGGAAUAAAAGGCAACAAAGUUUGCAAGUUGCACCGGGGCCACAUCUUGGAGUUGUUUGAGAACAUGUCCCAUGAGGCUGCAUUUAACACCAGCCACUCGCGCUUCCACCCCAACAGCAGGAGUAUCACAUCCACAUGCCAUGUGCGCAAUUCCUUACUUUAUAUCCUCCUCUAAGAUAAAUCUACCCUCCCUCUUUUUUAAGCAUAAGAGCAUUUAUUCUAAAAGGAAACUUUUGGCCAGGCAUGGUGGCUCACGCCUGUAAUCCCAGCACUUUGGGAGGCCUAGGCUGGUGGAUCAUGAGGUCAGGAGUUCGAGACCAGCCUGACCAACAUGGCAAAACCCCGUCUCUACUAAAAAUACAAAAAUUAGCCGGGUGUGGUGGCACGUGCCUGUAGUCCCACCUACUCGGGAGGCUGAGGCAGAAGAAUUGCUUGAACCCGGGAGGCAGAGGUUGCAGUGAGCUGAGAUCACACCACUGCAGUCCAGCCUGGGCAACAAAGCAAGACUCUGUCUCAAAAAAUAAAUAAAUAAAUAAAUAAAAGGAAACUUUUGCUCACUAAUGGAAAUGGAAGUGGCACCUGUCAUAGGCAGAGACAAAUUGUCAAAGUAAACAACUUUUAAGUCUCACUAGACACUCCUGCCCCAGCAGAAUCUGGUCAAAAGCUAGGUCAGCAAAUUUCAGAGGCAGUAUUAAGGACAAAGUAGCAACAAUCCAAACUUUCUUUUUAGGUACUCAGAAAGACUAACAGAACAUUGAGAAGGGGUGUUAGUCACAUCCCCAAACUGCAAGAGGCCAGAAGAUAGCGAGGGGUCUUUCAAACAAUCUAAAAUCUGAGACCCCAAUGUUGGAAAAGAGAAGGAAGGGAAUGGGUUAAAGUGCCAGUUGCUCCCUCCUCAGAUAGCAGGGCCCUGGACAUCCCUAAGAUGUCCCCUUCCUCUUUCAUCCUUCCCUGAUUCCAGCCUCCCCACCUUCCCCAGGCUGGCUUGCCUGAUUUUGUGAGCUCUUCAGCCGGCUUAAAGUGUAAUUCUGUAUUUCUGAUUCUAUCUGUGUUCCAGGAGGCAUUAUCUCUAUCUCUGUAAUAGCUUCUCAAGCAAAAACAUUUUACUGGGUAAAAGAGCAAGGAAUAGGCAUGACCUGAUGCUGAUUUAAAGCAAGAUUCCAGGCAAGCCCCAGAGCCCUCUCUAAGUAGCCUCUCUCCUUUCUGCUGUCUAACGAAACAGCUCCUAAUGGCCAUGGUAUCAUAUUGUAUCUCAUAUUUACACAGCACUCGGCACACAUUCACUUAUUCAGCGGACAUCCAUUGAGGGCCUAUUAUGUGCCAAGUCUUCUGGGUGCUGGCAAUCAACAGUGAACAAAGACCCGUGAGGUUCUUGCUCUACUUGGGAAAACAGGCAAUAAACUCUGAAACAAGUAAAUAAACACGAUCAUGAUGAGGCUACUGAAAAAGCAAUGUGGUAGCAGCGUGACGAUGAUGUGCCAUGGGAGACAGGUGGCAACAUCAAAAAAGGUAGACUGCCCCCGCCCUCCGAAGAGGUGGCAUGUGAGCAAGAAGGAGCCAGCCAAUGGAAAGCUCUGAAAGCAGAGUCUUUUAAAAACAAAACAAAAUCAAAAAACAAAAACAGGGCUCAAAGAAGAUGUCUGCACUUCUGCCAGACGGGGCAGAAAGAAGAUAAUGGUGCUCCAAUCAGGGAGACUGUGGAGGCAGUACAGGUGACAGGAGGCAGGGAAACGAGAAUUAGCCAGAAACACAGUAGGUUUGCCAUGUCAGUCAGACACUCGAGUGUGUUCUUGCUCUUCUCAACAAACCAUAAAGUAAGGACGAUCAGUGUUUCCCAUUUUACAGACAGGAAAACUGAAGCUCGGGAAGGCUACCCAGGUACAUAGGGGCAGUGGUGGGAUGUGAAUCUAUGGUUUAGGAUGCUGACGCCAGCACUAUCCCACCUGCCUCAUGGUAGAGCAGUGUCCAGACACAGAGGUGGCAAUGCAGCAGCUCAAGUGGCAGCUCCAGCACUGCAUGUGUUUUGUCCGUUCUACAUGGGUUUGGAAAAACUCACCUGAGCUAGCGAUCAACUCUUAAAUAUAACCCUUCACUCAAAAAUCUGGCUGUCUAUCUGAAAAUAUUUGAAGACCUGGUCAUAGUGGGACCAUGAUUUGAAUGACAACAAUGGGCUGGAGCAGUAUCUCUGCCCACCUUGAGAGAGGGAUGGGCACUCUGUUUUUCCACAGCCCCCACCUCUCCCGAUUGCUUGCCCCGGCCCCUUCACUCCUCUCCAUUGCAUUCAUGGCCUCCCUAUGCAUUCGGCUUUGAGGCCCCAGCUCUCUAGUGAUGAAAUAUGUGGGAAGAUCCACAAAGCCCAGCAAACGAGGAGUGACCAGAGGAAUUGAGUUACAGUUCCUCCCUAGAACACUUUCCUGCCUUUCUGAUGUAAUCACUUUGCGCAAACAGUAGGAAAUGUUCAGAAGAGCUGCUACAAGGCGGUGAUUAAGAGGUCAGGCCUGGUUCUUAAUUCUAGCUUCAGCAAGUCCUAUCUGUGGGACUUGGGCAAGUUCUAAAAACCUCAGUUUCUUUAUCUGUAAAGCGCAAAUAAUAAUAAUGCCUACUUUAUAAGUAGGAUUAGGGGAAACAGUAAUUUAGGAAACGUGCUCGGAAUGAUGCUAGUUUCGUGGUGAGUAUCCAAUAGAUGGAGCCGUAGUUGUCUUUCUCAUCUUAGAAAGCAGCUGAUUCUCCCAUGUCAUGACAGUGUUUGUGCAACUCCUCUGGAAUUCUCUCCUUUCUUCCUUAGGAGAGCAUUUUCUCAAUGUUCCUCUUUAUCUUUCUCCAAACACAAAGACAAAUCUAAGAGGAAAAAAAAAAUCUUCAAACUGGGUCGCAGAUACUCAGCUUCUUGUCAAUUCUCAUUAGGGUUUAAAAGCUCAGUCUCCUGCAUAUGCCCAAAGAUAAAGCAAUCCCUUCCAUUCCUAAUUCAAAGAACCAAAAAAAAAAAAAAAACAUGUGGUUGGACCUGGUUGAAUAUAUAAACUUUUGGGGAUGGCAAUAAACUAGGCAAAGUCCUGGUUAUUCAAUUUAUUAGCUCAGUUGUGCAACGUAGAAAUAAACAGAAAAUUACUUAUAAUUUUACAAUAAUAUUCAUUUAGAAACAUCACUUUUCUCCAUAUACGUGUUGCAUGAAACAGCUUUACUCCAUUCUUUGCCACACAUAAGGAGGCCGAGGAGGGAAGAUGGCAUGAGGCCAGGAAUUCAAGGCUGCAGUGAGAUAUGAUUGCACCACUACACUUCAGCCUGGGCGACAGGGUGACACCUCAUCUCUAAAAAAUAAAAUAAAAUAAUAAAAAAAUUUUGGAAAUUUUUAAAGCGUCUGCUCCACAGAGCCACAUUUUGCAUUGUGCAGUUUCGUUUUUCAGACCUUUCUCCUCUCUUCCAUCUGACUGCCCUGAGAUCCAGCACUUUUUGCUUCCACAUCUGAGGCUGUCGCUGGAAACAAGGUCUCCAUCCCAUUUGCAUGACAUGAGCACAGUCGGGAUUUGUAUUCAUUCUGUGGGUGUGUGUAUAUUCGUGCUCUCCACAAAAGAACCACUCAGCAUUGCUUUUUCAAGCCGAGCUUUAAAAGGCUUAUUUGCCAUGACAUCCAGCACUUGUAAUUUGAGGUCAUACCCCGAGGAAGAAUUGCUAAAUCUGUGUAAAAUGUUUCUGACUCCUUUUCUUACAGAUUCUGUCAGAUUAUCUCUUUAAGAAUUCUAAGCCCAUGUUGUUUGAGGUGGUUUUAGGCUAAUGUACAUUCCCCAAACAUUUCUUUGCUGUUCAAAAUAAAGCAAUUGAGAGGGUUCUUCGUAAAAACGAAGCACUUUGCAAGAGCUCAAGACAAAAGACAACUCCCUUUUUUCUAGGGGGUAAUUUUGAGGAUAGAAGAAAAACAGUGUUCUAUGUAAGCCUGUACAAUCACGAGAGCCAUUUGCUGAGGGCCAUGUGUGCGAGUGGUUCGUGUGCUCUCCACCUCCUCUUCUUCCUCCCAGGGGAUGAAAUGAGGCCCAACAAGUGCAAGACAUGGACCAUGUCAGCUCGUGACAGAACAGGGCUGGAACCCAAGUCUGCUAGGCUCAGCCCACUCCCUCCCUGUGCCGAGUUGACAUAUUCUACUUACAUUAAGCCAAGUGCUGGGCUCUGAUUAUACAAAAUCAGAUAAGCCAGGACCCUGUGUUCAAGGAGCUCCCAGGCCUGCUGGGGUGAGAGUGGAGCAGCAAGGAUGGAAGUGCACAGAUGCAAGGGUGGCCAGGCCUAUGGGGAUACAGGCAAGGGAGGCUGAGUGUU
rnacentral:lncRNA from 1 species